rnacentral:rRNA from 1 species
AACGCGAAGAACCUUACCUGGGCUUGACAUGUCCCUGACAGCCGUGGAAACACGGUUUCCCUUCGGGGCAGGGUCACAGGUGGUGCAUGGCUGUCGUCAGCUCGUGUCGUGAGAUGUUGGGUUAAGUCCCGCAACGAGCGCAACCCCCGUCGCAUGUUGCCAGCAUUUAGUUGGGGACUCAUGCGAGACCGCCGGUGACAAACCGGAGGAAGGUGGGGAUGACGUCAAGUCAUCAUGCCCCUUAUGCCCAGGGCUACACACGUGCUACAUUGGCGCGUACAGAGGGCUGCGAUACCGCGAGGUGGAGCGAAUCCCUUAAAGCGCGUCUCGGUUCGGAUUGCAGGCUGAAACUCGCCUGCAUGAAGGCGGAGUUGCUAGUAAUCGCGGAUCAGCAUUGCCGCGGUGAAUACGUUCCCGGGCCUUGUA